rnacentral:tRNA from 1 species
UACUUUUAAGUUAAUUUUAACGUUAGCUUUGAAGGAGCUGAAGAUUUUUAAGUUU